rfam:Parcubacteria (Kaiserbacteria) bacterium GW2011_GWA2_49_19 TY44_C0009, whole genome shotgun sequence.
GUCCUCAUAGUUCAACGGAUAGAACAUCAGCCUUCUAAGCUGAGAAUGCAGGUCCGAUUCCUGCUGAGGACA